rnacentral:rRNA from 1 species
UACAGAGGUCUCAAGCGUUGUUCGGAUUCAUUGGGCGUAAAGGGUGCGUAGGCGGCGCGGUAAGUCGGGUGUGAAAUCUCGGAGCUUAACUCCGAGACUGCAUUCGAUACUGCCGUGCUUGAGGACUGGAGAGGAGACUGGAAUUUACGGUGUAGCGGUGAAAUGCGUAGAUAUCGGGAGGAACAUCUGUGGCGAAGGCGACACCCUGGACCAGCACUGACACUGAGGCACGAAAGCGUGGGGAGCAAACAGG